rnacentral:rRNA from 1 species
AUUGAACGCUGGCGGCAGGCCUAACACAUGCAAGUCGAGCGGAUGAAGGGAGCUUGCUCCUGGAUUCAGCGGCGGACGGGUGAGUAAUGCCUAGGAAUCUGCCUGGUAGUGGGGGCUAACGUCCGGAAACGGGCGCUAAUACCGCAUACGUCCUGAGGGAGAAAGUGGGGGAUCUUUGGACAUCACGCUAUCAGAUGAGCCUAGGACGGAUUAGCUAGUUGGUGGGGUAAAGGCCUACCAAGGCGACGAUCCGUAACUGGUCUGAGAGGAUGAUCAGUCACACUGGAACUGAGACACGGUCCAGACUCCUACGGGAGGCAGCAGUGGGGAAUAUUGGACAAUGGGCGAAAGCCUGAUCCAGCCAUGCCGCGUGUGUGAAGAAGGUCUUCGGAUUGUAAAGCACUUUAAGUUGGGAGGAAGGGCAGUAAGUUAAUACCUUGCUGUUUUGACGUUACCAACAGAAUAAGCACCGGCUAACUUCGUG